rnacentral:lncRNA from 1 species
UCCAGGUUAGGAGCAAAGGUCAGGCUGCGGUGUGAUGUUUACAACAGGGACAUUGGUGCAGGGCUGCUCUCCAGAGUACAGAACUCAGACACAAAUUGGGCCAGUGUGUGGAACACAACGGGCAGUGCAGAGAAGGAAAACCUGCAAAGCUAACGGGGCACCUGUAAGUAACAGGAAGAUGUGGAACUCAAGAUUCGUGCUCUUGUCAGAAUCACCGAACUGGAGGCACAUACUGCAACGAGCUACGCGGACAGAUUUGCAAGGCAUAUUGUUGGAUGAAAAAAGUAAGAAACAGGGGCUGGAGAGCACAACAAAACAUACUUACAGCGGAAGCCAUGCUUGCACACAAAACAAGAGCUCCGCCUGUUUCAACGCACAUCCAAGAGUGUAGAUGAAGUCCUCCAGUGAGUGCUUUGGGGGCACCGUGCUUUAGGUUCAACUUCCACGCCUUGUUAGGGGAUGGACUGUGUCCCGCCCACGAAUCCCCUGUUGAAGCUGUAAUACCCAGGACUGUGGCUGCCUGGAGAUGGGGUCUUUGGAGAGGUGAAGUCACUUUGGGUGGCCCUAAUUGGGUAUGGCUGGUGUCCUCCCAGCAGAGGAUGUUAGCACACAGGCACUGGCUGGGGCCACAAGCAGACACCAAGCAGGCAGCAGCUGCAGGCAAGAGAGAGGCCUUGAAAGAAGCCAACCCUGUGGACGCCUUGAGCUUGGACUUCCACCCUCUAGGACUGUGGAAAAUAACGUCCUCUUGUCUCGGCCUGGGUCUCAGGGCUUUGUUAUGGCAGGCAGCUGUGGUAGUUAGUGCAUCCUCCGGCAAUCUCACACUCCCUGGUCUACCCACGCUGGCCUUUUGGCGUGGCUGAAAUAUCUGUCCUUCCCCUGGGAACCUGCCUGUUUUCCAAUGGCAGGUCUCAACGUGGUGGCAGCCUCUUUCUGGAGCAGGUGUCCCGUCCUGUGGCACAUGUCGCUGACCAGUUGCUGCCCUGUGUCCCUGCUUGGGUCCUGCUGUCCCUGCUCUAUGCUGCUCUGUACUCCAGCAUGUCCCCCAGGAAGGCUGAGCAUGACAGGGACUUGCAAGGAUGGGAGUUCCCAAAACAAGAGCAAGAGGGAGGGGCACAAGGGGCCUCAGAGUGGCCUUGUGCCCACCAUCUUGGGAACCCAUGCCCUUCCGUUGGGGAGCCCGGGGUGGCGCAUGGUCCCUCACAGCCUCUGGGCAACUCUGGGUCCAGGUCUGGCUCGCACCCGGCCUCGGCGUCAUGGGGACGGAGGGACGCUGCAGAGCCAAGCCCAUAAAGCCAGCUGCCAGCCUGUUCAUGCUCCAUCACGAGGCCCAGACACUUGUGUGGGCAGGACCCCUGCGCUCGAGGAGGCUGGAUGUCCGUGGGAAGGUGAGUCAGGACCAAGCGUCCCCCUGGCAGGGAAUCAGAGCCAAGAUGGCAAGCGCCACAGGACAGUUGUUUACUGGCAGCAGACAGGAAUAGCUCAGCGAGCCAUUGCACAACAGCCAGGCCUGCCAGCAUGGCGGGAGGGAGGCGCCCGGACACGGGUCCCUGCUGCCCGAAAUCCCAGAAGCCCUUUGGCUCUGUCUCCCGCCGCCUGCUCCUCUCUGCCACCCCGGGACCUUCUCCAAUGACAGUGGGUCCGAAGGCCUGGCCGACUCUAAGCUGAGGGGCAGCCAGACCUCCUGGCCUCGUGGGCUGUGCAAGUGAUGGGAGUGGGGAGCCUGGGUCUGUGGUCAUCAGCCCCAGGGGUUGUGAGGCAGCAAGAGGCCCCGUCCUGCCUACUUCCAGGCUCCCCAGAUCCUGGCUGUUUCUUCAGAGUGACCCCUGGGAUCUCCACACCGCCUGAGGGGAGGCAGGAAAGGGCAGCCCUGGGGCUGAGGAAGGCGGGGCCAGGAGGACGGAUGGUCCCCACAGCGAGUCCACCGAAGAUGCUCAUUGGCAGGAGGAGGCUGUUCCCGAGGAAGACUGUUUGGGUGAUGUGUGAACUUACAUAACAGCAAGAGGAGGCCAUUUGUACACACCAAGCUGGCCCCUCCUUCCACCCGCACACCGGCCCUCUCCCCAGGGAAUGGACUUCUCCACCCUCGCCUCUCCGUUCUCACCGAAGCACCAGUAUUAGUGGAUGUGAAUGGCUUUCGCGCCGACGCAGCCCACCAGACAAGAUGGGCAGCAGGAGCACACCCCCCAUCACCCUUCUUCAAGACGCCCCAUAAAAUACCAGCUGCAAUCGGAGCACCUCUUUCUCUUGAGAGUCCACACGUAUUUCUUUGUUUACUUUAGAUUCUGCCUAAUAAAUCCCUUUAUGUCUCUUCCUGA